CCCGGCCCCGCUCGCCUCCCCCCGCGCCCCGGUGGCGCUGCCCGCGGCCGAGUGGGAAGCAAGGAGGAAGGACGCUUAGAAGAAGGGCUGAUGGCCUGUUCCCAUCAGCAGUGGAGGAAAGGGAGAGGCAGGACUGGGAAGGAUAAAGCUAUCGCUGCCAGCUGGGAGCCAAGCAGACAGGCUGAGUUUGGUGAGCAGUGCUGCACCGACGGACAGAUGUCAUUCCCAGGCUGGCCUGCUUUAUCGCCACAGCACCAUCACACAGGAUGUGCUGCAGCAAAAAGGGACAGAGAGCGAAGCGGCCAGAGGACAACGUCAGCAAAAGGGAAGCCUUUGGUGACAGCAGCAAGUGGGGUGCUUGGCAGCUAUGGGAAGUGGCUUCUAAGGAGGACGUCUGGCACCUCACCUUCUGGAGAUUUUUCUAUACUGCUCAAAUGCUGGUGAAAGCUGUCAGAUGCUGAUUACCUUGCAGCAGACAAUAAGCUAUUCCAGGUUUUGCAGCAGGGCAGAGGCCCGGGGCUGUGCAGCCGGCAGGUGGCAGCAGCUCGUUUCCAGCGGGGCCGGAGCGGCUCCCGGUGCGGGAUCACAGGCACCGAGAUCGGUGAGCGGAGCUGGAGGAGCCGAGUUGUAUUUGCUCGCCAAUUCUGUGCUUCAUUUCACUCUGUCCGUUUGAAUAUCAGAUGUAGUUUAAUUCUCCUGGCUGUUAACGCGCUGAGCGAGUAGGGCAGAUUAGCAGCCCUUGCACUUGAAUUCCCAAUUCCUUUUUUGUCUUAGCUCAUAAGGCGGAAUUACUUUCCAGUUUACUGCAGUGGACAAAGUGUGUGGCAAAGAUGUGAUUCCUUUUUACACACUGUGCUGGUUUUGGUUGGAUUACAGCUGUGACCUCAAUCUCUGUAUACAAAGGUAUGUAACAGAGGAUUUGCACAAGUUGUGAUAGGUGUUAGGCAAAAAACACAGCCAGACAAGCAGAACUUCCUUUUUGCAAUUCUGAUCUUUGUCUCAGAACAGGAGGAAUUUAAAGUCUGCUGGUAUCCAUCUGGUGAAGCAUCCAGAACAUUUUUCAUUUUCAUUAUUUGUUUCUUCUCUGAGAUAUUUGCAGACAUUAACAAAUUGUGUGAUCCAAUGACUGUUGUAACGCAUCGCCGAAACAAUUCAUACUUGCAACAGCCUUCAGAUUCAUAGUAUGACUGCCUGCUGAAAUAGUUUUGCUCACUGAUGAUAGAACGUUUCUGUGUUUAAACAAGACAUUCUGUCAUAAAAAAAAGCCAAGAUGGAGUUUUAACUACAAAAUUCCUAGCAGAUGAAUGGCAUUUCAGGGCCAAUUUUAUCUCUGUGUAUUUCACAGUUACUUUCAGGAAGAUUCAGAGGACUUCAGCAUUUCAUGCUGACAACAGGAUGGAGAUGUGGACCCACCUGCGUGCACCUCCCUGGGCUGGAGUGGAACAGAGCAGCCCCACACUCACUGUGGAGAAGGAAAUGGGACCAGUUGCAUAUUUUCCAGUUUCUGGCAGCCCCAUCUCAGGAGAGAUCAGUACAAACCCUUCAGUCCCAGUUUGCAGAUGUGGGUGUGAAAAAUCAGUCUUCACAUACAGUGUGGGAUGGCAAAGAGACAUGGUUAAAGUCAAGGUCCCCAGAAACCCUUUCCUCAUAGCACUGCUUUAGUCUCUAGCCUACCCUUGGCAUUCACAUUCAUUUCUCCCUUAAAGGUUUUGCAUUUAUUCAGUGUAAUGUGUCAGUGUGGUAGGGCUGUGCCAAGCAGAGGGGUAGCCCUGACACCACCACCGCAGGCAUUUACAGCACAGCUGUGCCAACAGGACAUGGGGCUAAGGCUGGGGUGCUGAUGUGGGAUCUCCCAAGCGCUCUCAGGGCUGCUAGGUGGGCAUUAUGUGUGUUUUGGAGAGCAACGUGCAUAUUUUAGCAUAUUUUCCCAGAACAGACA